rnacentral:rRNA from 1 species
AGAGUUUGAUCAUGGCUCAGAACGAACGCUGGCGGCAGGCCUAACACAUGCAAGUCGAACGCUGUAGCAAUACGGAGUGGCAGACGGGUGAGUAACGCGUGGGAACAUACCCCUCGGUUCGGAAUAACUCAGGGAAACUUGAGCUAAUACCGGAUACGUCCGAGGUUUUAAUCGACCUUGGAGAAAGAUUUAUCGCCGGAGGAUUGGCCCGCGUCUGAUUAGCUUGUUGGUGAGGUAAUGGCUCACCAAGGCGACGAUCAGUAGCUGGUCUGAGAGGAUGAUCAGCCACAUUGGGACUGAGACACGGCCCAAACUCCUACGGGAGGCAGCAGUGGGGAAUAUUGGACAAUGGGCGAAAGCCUGAUCCAGCCAUGCCGCGUGAGUGAUGAAGGCCUUAGGGUUGUAAAGCUCUUUUACCCGGGAAGAUAAUGACGGUACCGGGAGAAUAAGCCCCGGCUAACUUCGUGCCAGCAGCCGCGGUAAUACGAAGGGGGCUAGCGUUGUUCGGAAUUACUGGGCGUAAAGCGCACGUAGGCGGAUCCUUAAGUCAGGGGUGAAAUCCCGAGGCUCAACCUCGGAACUGCCUUUGAUACUGGGGAUAUCGAGUCCGGGAGAGGUGAGUGGAACUGCGAGUGUAGAGGUGAAAUUCGUAGAUAUUCGCAAGAACACCAGUGGCGAAGGCGGCUCACUGGCCCGGUACUGACGCUGAGGUGCGAAAGCGUGGGGAGCAAACAGGAUUAGAUACCCUGGUAGUCCACGCCGUAAACGAUGGAUGCUAGCCGUUAGACAGCUUGCUGUUUAGUGGCGCAGUUAACGCGUUAAGCAUCCCGCCUGGGGAGUACGGUCGCAAGAUUAAAACUCAAAGGAAUUGACGG